GCAGCCAUGCCGCGUGUGUGAAGAAGGCCUCGGGUUGAAAGAUAGGGAGGAAGGUAGUGUGUUAAUAGCGUUAUUUGACGUAGCGACAGAAGAAGCACCGGCUAACUCCGUGCCAGCAGCCGCGGUAAUACGGAGGGUGCGAGCGUUAAUCGGAAUUACUGGGCGUAAAGCGCAUGCAGGUGGUUUGUUAAGUCAGAUGUGAAAGCCCGGGGCUCAACCUCGGAAUAGCAUUUGAAACUGGCAGACUAGAGUACUGUAGAGGGGGGUAGAAUUUCAGGUGUAGCGGUGAAAUGCGUAGAGAUCUGAAGGAAUACCGGUGGCGAAGGCGGCCCCCUGGACAGAUACUGACACUCAGAUGCGAAAGCGUGGGGAGCAAACAGGAUUAGUACCCUGGUAGUCCACGCCGUAAACGAUGUCUACGAUUGUGGCCUUGAGCCGUGGCUUUCGGAGCUACGCGUUAAGUAGACCGCCUG
rnacentral:rRNA from 1 species